AUGGAGCAAGGUCGUGGCGCUGCCGUCGCUGCGCACGGAGAUGUGGUUGAGGGCGCGGAGACCGCCGCAGAUGCCGUCCAAGAAGUGGCCGUUGUCGGCGGUGCGGGAGAUGCUGCACCCGCAGUCGCUGGAUCGGUCCCUGCGGCGGCGGAUCUAGUGGCGCAGGGGGUGGUGGGCUCGGACUCCAUCGUGGCAGACCUGGUGGUGACGGUGUCUGAGGCGAGCGACAAGCAGGUGGUGGAUGUGAAUGAGGAAGCUGCUGGCAACAAGAGGAAGCUGGACAUCGCUGGGUUCGACGACCCGUUUGAUUCUGACGACAACGAGGAGUACAACUCUGGAGAUGAGGUGGAAGAGUGGAACCACAGGUCCUUCAUUGAGCAUGACGCCAAGAAGAUCAGGGAGAAGGGGAAGGCAGCGUACUUCAAGUGGGGCAAGUUCAGGAUGGAUGAGCUGAAUGGAGAAAUAGUGUGCACCGUUGAAAAAUGGUGCAAGCUUGUUGCCGCUCUAUCGAGUGGUCAACGCGCUAGAGUGGCUGAUACAACAUUGUGCAGCAUGCUGCAGAUACCAUCUAUUAAGAUGCGCACCCUUCUAAUUAGGUAUAUGAUUGAGAAUUUUGAUGCCAGCAAGUCCAGAUUGAUUAUACAAGAGCAGGUUGGGGAGGUGACUCUCGGUGCGGUCGACGUCGAGUGCAUCUUUAACCUCGAGAACCAAGGACUCUCCGCUUCGGACAUUCUGAUUGAAGAAGGAGAGGAUAUGAAGGAGCGGUACUUGUACUGGGAGAAGGUGCACCCUGUCGAAGGCGAUUGCGUCUAUAAUCCCAACUUCUCCGUACAACCUCUUAUGAGGAACUGGACCAAAGGUGCAGCCACUAGGAGAGAUCAAUUCGACUAUGACAAUGGGCGCGGCCGUGGUAAUGUCAAGAGGUUAUUGGAGAAGAUGAACAAAUCAGGUGUCAUGUACAAGCCGGCUGCUGCCGUGCCAUCCGUGGACAAUGAUGUGGAUCAAGAAGUGGAUUCGUCCGAGAACGCUCUCUUUUCUGAAAUUGAUGAGCCGGAGGGUGUGGCAGAUGAGUUGACGCCGGAAAUAAUUGAUGCAGCUAUUUCAUUUGUCGAGUUAGCUUCUAGCACCGACAAGAAUAAGGGGAAGAAAGUUUACUACAGUGAAGGGUGUGGCAUAUCUCUGACAUCCGAAAGGAUUCGACCGGUUAUUGAUGCUUAUAUGGGACAUUUGGAGCUGAGCGUUGGUCAUGAUCGUUACCUCUGUCCAGCGUGGAGGUACAAAUUCCUUGUAGAUCGUGCUAUCGCACGAGACGAUCCGUUGCCGUCGAGCUGCAACAUGGACAGUGCUCUGUCCAAAGCUGGAGCAGUUAAUAGAGUCACGCAAGAGUAUACUGUGCGUGAUAAGGUACGUUAUGUUUACGUAUAUCGCGUUGAAUAUGAAAAUGCCCACUGGAUGACCGUGGUCAUGCACAUGAUCAAGAAAGAAUUCCAAGUUCUCGAUUCACUCUAUCCUAUGGAGCUGACAGAAAAGACUGUGAAAGCACUGCGAAUGGCUAUAACAAACGAUAUGCGCCAAGCAAAUCUUAUUACACCAGGGAAAUAUCCGGACGAUGAUGUCACUUCUGAGUAUGUUGAAUGGGUUGAUGGGGAGUGGGAUAGCAAAGCAAAGUCAGUCAUUAAGUAUCUAGCCAUGAAGAACAAGAAACUGGAGACUAAGAUUACAGAAUGUGAAGUUGAAAUUAAAAGGAAUGAGAAAGAAAAGAGGGCAAUGGUUAAGAUGCACAAGGAAAUAUUGCUCUAUAGGGAUAUGAUUUUAGGAUUUGGAGGUCUUAUGUAUCUUGGCCUGCUUGCCACUAUAAUUGCUGUCAUAGUUACCAAGUAG
rnacentral:rRNA from 1 species